CAGCAGCCACGGUAAUACGAAGGGUGCAAGCGUUACUCGGAAUUACUGGGCGUAAAGCGUGCGUAGGUGGUGGUUUAAGUCCGUUGUGAAAGCCCUGGGCUCAACCUGGGAAUUGCAGUGGAUACUGGGUCACUAGAGUGUGGUAGAGGAUAGUGGAAUUUCCGGUGUAGCAGUGAAAUACGUAGAUAUAGGAAGGAACACCAGUGGCGAAGGCGACCACCUGGACUGAUACUGACACUGAGGUGCGAAAGCGUGGGGAGCAAACAGGAUUAGAUACCCCGGUAGUCCCUGUCUCUUAUAC
rnacentral:rRNA from 1 species